rnacentral:tRNA from 1 species
UGAUGAUCCCAAGCCUUCUGGCGAUCUCUUAAAAUAAAGCCUAGCCUGCUUUACAAAAAAAACGGGCGUUUAGAUACUCUUUAAAUUCUUAUGAACCUUAAAGAGUAUCCAUUUAAAAAAGGCUUUAUGAAGAAAGCACUUUAAGCUUUUCCAGUGAUUUAAGAUGAUACCGGGGAAGGUUUUCCGGUUUAUCCCGGAGGGCUUGUAGCUCAGUUGGUUAGAGCGCGCGCUUGAUAAGCGUGAGGUCGGAGGUUCAAGUCCUCCCAGGCCCACCAGUUUAUGCUCGUUUUUUGCUUAUUCUUGAGCGUUAUGAAGCUUAAGCUUAUCAAAGCCUCUUUAAUCUUUGUUCAUCGUUUAAAGAUUUUAUUUUAUCCUUCAAAAAUUGUUUGUUAAAUUUAUCAAACAGUGCCUUUGUCAAAAAAGGAUUUUAAGUUCCCUUCAAGAGGAUAGACAAAUUUAAAGGAUAAAAAUGAUAAAAAUCAAUACAAGUAGAAAUAAUAUUGAUCGAAAAAAUAGUAUUGAUUAAAAGA